rnacentral:misc_RNA from 1 species
UCAAAAUGGCGGACGAACUGGUCGAAAAUUGGGAAUCUCUUCUACCUGAAGUUUUUGACCUUCUCAUCAACAAACCCGANAAGAUAGUUGAUGAUACAAGUAUUGAGAAGCUUAUUGCAUGGAUUUCAGAUAUUUGUGGCUCAUUUAGCGGUNGUAGAAGUUUUCUCANGCACUUCUCNCUGUUCUUGUCAAAUGUCAAAGUUUUGGAGUCUUCCACGACCAUUUCUUUUGCCUUGCGAGUUUGUGGGAUUAUUUGGUGUAAAGAUAAUAACAUUUUNAAGGAGUAUCCAGCAUGGAUAGAUUUGUUUGUAAAGGUUAAUCGUAGUGAAAUGUUGUGGGAAGAUGCUGCAGUUCGCCAUGCUUACUUCACAGGGUUAUCAAGUCUGACCGCGUUUGACGCNGGACANUUGUGGCUGCAUGAAAACAGAGAUUGUUUGACAACAGCUGAUAAUUGUAUGUCCACGGAUCGCAGUAUGUUCGUGGCUUCUGCAGCAAGAUUAUUUAUUGCAAGGUUUCUCAUAUCAAGCCUUUCAAGUUCACAAAACUCCUUUACAUCCCCACAAGAACAAGUAAAAUUGUUAAUAGACAAUCUACAUCAUAAAAUAACAAGUAACACACAAGAUACUACUGACAGNAGUAAAGAUAGAAUUGCAAUUUUAGAUGUUAUGAGGAUGAUUAUGGACAUUGACACAGCUCGUGGUCAAGAGAUUCUUUCAUCUUCAAAGUUGUUUGUUUAUUGUAUUGACAUGGUUAGCGUGUCUGAAGACUGUGUUUGUAGAAAGUUGGUGGAAGUUCUUGGUGAAAUAAUAGAGAAAAANAGGGAUAAUGAAAAUAUGAUGUGGAAUACACUAUUCUGCUCUGACUCUCACAGCUCAGCUUCUCAAAGACUGCUGAAGUUAUGUCUUGAUCUUUACCAUAGAGGCAUGAUAAUAGACUCACUUUAUCUCAGUUCAUCUUUGGCUCUGCUGACAGAGGAAUCUAUUGGGAUUUGCACCUCAGCCUGGUUGAAUAUAAUCAGCUGCUUAAUUAAUGCUUCUCUGUCGGCUCUUGAAGACACUACAGCUGUACCUAAUGGAGGUUGUACAAAUGGUAUUGAUGUGGAGCAUCAUGAUACUGACUCCUUGGCAAAUGCUUUGAUGUCAUGUAAAGAAACAAGCUCAAAGGAUUUGGAGUCCACACAGAUUAAAAUUACAGCCCUUAUCAAGCCAUGGUUGUCGACCAAAAAACUUCAGUUUGAAGUCUUAACUCAAGCUUUGUCAUCAAUAACAGCAGUAACGUUGAGUAAUGAACAACCCACCAAAACACUGGCUCAAUGGAUUGAAAUCUCCCUGAGGAUUCUCAAACCAUCUGUAUCUACAUCUGAUAUUCCCGACUUUGGUAUCUCAGUCGAAGGGAAUGACAAAGCUACCAAGAGUGUCCUGAAAGUUCUUGUGAAUUUGUUUAAACAUCUGAUAAAUCAAUCUCAUCAAUCGCUUCACAAAGAUAUCUCAAGUUACUUCUAUGAUACGUUGGAGACAGUCAUUUUUCUUGCGAGAUCUUCACAGACGAAACCUCCGAUCAUUACCUGCGCAUUGGAAUCUCUUCGUGAUUUAUUGGUUUGUGGCUUUCUUUUCUUGAACGAGCNAUCAUCUAAGGAUGCUCAUAAGGAUGCUAGCAUAGAUUCGGACGUGACUUGUGAUGCUAAAAGACCCAGAAUGAAUGAUGCAAACGACAAUAUCAAAGAGNGCAUUGGUCACGUUGUUCAUCUUAGAAUGCGUGACCAAAGAUGGGAAGUAAAGGACUCAGCUUUGGAGUUUGUAGCUCGAUUGGUGAAGUCACAUGCAGAUCUUGCUACAAGUAUAGUCGGUUCCCAUAUACUUCAAUACGUGUGGGAAGCUUUAGAUGAUGAAAAUGAAAGCUAUGUUCGAUCAUCUGCCUGGCAAGCUAUUUCAUAUAUUGUAAGUCAUGAGGUUUUGUGGGCCACACUGAAAAAACAGCAGCAUUUGACCGAGAAAGAUGUCAUCUGCAAAAUACUUGAUACACUGGAAAACGAUAGCGAAGCAUUUCCCAGACGAAGCUGUGUCGAGUGCAUUUUGCUAUGGAUACAUAAACGAAAACCAAUCGUUGGGAGCAUUUUGAAUAUGUCGGAAUCCGAGUGUAAUCCCGACUACAGUGCGGAUUCGUCCGACAUAAGAUCGCUGUUCACUCGUAUCAUUAAGUGUGCUUUUGAAGACUUUGAUUGGGAGGUUAAGCUUCGUGGAAUUCGAGUCAUCGAGGCUGUUAUGAACGACUUUGGUGUUUCAAAGCCAAGAAUUCCAGAAAGUAUGGACGACCUGUCCACAAAGAGAGUUCUAAGAGUCCUGCAUUGUGUAGAAGCACUGAAACAUCUCUUGAAAGCUUGUGAUGAUUGUGAUCAUCCAGUAUGUGAGAAAGCCCUAUCUGUUGUUGGUGCUUUGAAGAACUAUUUGUACCCAGACGGGACCAGCAGUCACGUGGAACAGUCAGCGCCUAAGGCUAUUGAAAAACCAAUUACCACUGUAGACCAACUUACACAGAUUUUACUGCCAAUUGAAAACCUUUCAGUGGAUGUAUUCAUGGACAUCGCAUAUCGUCUGGAUUUGACCUCCUUAAAUACGUCUUGUUCUGCUGCAGAUAUUAACAUCAGGUCAAAUGCAGCGUGCUUUUUGGAAGAUAUUUUGGCAUGUGCUAAAGAUGACACCGAGAACUUGCUGGAUUGUUACUGAGGAAGUGUAGGUAGAUGAUUAUAUAAUUCAGGAUUCUUAACGUCAUCUAAUGAUCGCAAACCGUGAAUCUUUGCGAUGGACUUAAGACAUCGGCUUCUUCAUCAUCAUUAUCAAGAUCAUCUUCAUACGAAAUGUGUGGCANGUCGCUUGGUCUGUUUUGGGUGCAGUCUGCAUUAAACGCAGAGUGUCCUUGAUGACGUCUAUGGCAUCGUCAAGGUGAUAGGUGCUUAAGAUUGGCUGGAAGGUGUUUCGGUACUGCAAGUCAAAUAAAUAAUGCUUUCAAACUGCUGGGGCCCAUUAAUUGUAUGUACGGUAGAUAAAGACAUUCAUUCUAUAUUGUGUUUGCAUGGAUCACUGGAAAAAAUCGCGCUGUAAAUGUAACGUAAAAAUGAUGUAAAAAGGUCACAUUUACAUCACUUUACACACUUUUUACAUACAUUGUAAC